rnacentral:rRNA from 1 species
UAGGGGAAUCUUCCACAAUGGGCGAAAGCCUGAUGGAGCAACGCCGCGUGUGUGAUGAAGGGUUUCGGCUCGUAAACACUGUUGUAAGAGAAGAAUGACAUUGAGAGUAACUGUUCAAUGUGUGACGGUAUCUUACCAGAAAGGAACGGCUAAAUACGUGCCAG